rnacentral:hammerhead_ribozyme from 1 species
AUCCAGAUGACGAGUCCCUAAUAGGACGAAACGUGCAUUCUGGAU